CAGAGCUUUGAACCGAGUUAAAAGGAACCCAAUUCUUUUCUCCCAAAACUAUACCAUUUUACAUGUUGUAUAAAGUACCUUUCUCUUGUUUUCCCUCAUUUUUCAUUUUACUUUUCUCUCUCUUCACUAUAUUUUCUCUACGUUCUUUUUAUAUUCCAAAAGAAAAUGGCCAGAAGGUUAAAGCCUUCUAAAUACCAGCAACAUCCUACCACCGUCACUACCCCUCACUACCACUCGCUGGCCGUCCACUGGUGACCAGAGCUAUCCCAAAAAAUCUCCACAAGCUCAUCUUAGUGUCAUUUUCCACAUGUUCUAGUUGGUUCCAUAAACACAUUGGAUUUACGUAGAUCUGGACUCAAAGAUCACAAUUUCUUUCCCUAGAAUCUACCUCGUCGUUGCUCCAGCUACUACUAAUUCGAGGUAUGUUCUUCCUCAGGUCCUUGAUUAUCUCGUCACCGAUUUUAAAGAUGCGAAAUAACCUAAAUCAACCUUGAUUAGGAAUCUUAGACAGGAAGCCUUUCUUUUUUGUUUUAUUUUUUUGAUUACUUGUGUGAUUUUGAUUUUGGUGCCAGUGAUGACUAGAAACCAAGAUGUUUCUAGUAGUAAGGAUUGGUGUCUCAACAGCCAAUGCAUGGGUUGGUGACUAGCUUAUUUUUUAGCUUUAUUUGUUUGCAGGUGUGGAUUGACUUCAAUGAUUAAUAGGUAUGGUGAUGAAUGGUUUCUAGAACCUCGUAUUUUGGUCUGAUUAUGGGUUUUGGGCUAUCUAAUACGAGUUGGAUUGUUGGUGUUUUGGAUUGUAUCUUAAUUGCCUAGUGGUACAUUGUAGAUCCUUCUUACUCUUUGUUUUUUUUUUUUUUUUUUUUUGCCUUCUAAGAAUUCAGUGUAGCUGGAAUUGUGGUUGCUUCUCUGUUUGUAUAUCGUUUUCAAGGCUAGGUUUGGUGAUGGUUUGUGUUUCAUGGGUUCAGUUAGUUGGUGCUAAGGUUGAGUUCGCAGUUGUGGUUGGUACUAAAGUCUUGGUUGGGAUUGGGAUUAUGGUUGUUGGAUUGUUGGCAAUAGGAAUGAAGGUAAAUUUAUGACAGUUUGAGAGUGCUGAUGAGCUAGCAAUUACUCACUGAUUGUUGAAUCUUGCUUGCUUUCUUCUUUUUAUUUUUUGCUACUGUGAUUCUACCUGCUCUCUAUUUUCU
rnacentral:lncRNA from 1 species